AAGUCUAGCUCUACAAAAAUGGGCAAAAAAUUGAAUUAAAUAUUUUCAUGGCAGAAGAUUAGUCAGCUUUCUCCCAUUAAAUACAUCAUGAUUAAUGUGAAGAACUUCUUUUUAAAUGGUGAAGGACAUUUCCUUUCAUCUACAGGCACACUGGUAAACAGAAUAGUGUUGACUGUCCUCUAACCUAUUUCUCUACCAUGGGGGCAGUAGAAGAAUUGUCAGAUCAGAGGAUUUGGGAAGAAUGAACUAUAUGGCACUCAGAGUUUCAUGUUUCUCCUUUUCUUGAGCAAUCUCUCUGCAAGUAGAGAGAAAUCAGUAUCUCAUUUCCUAGGCUUUUCCUGGCGUGAGAACAUGUUUUUAAAGCGAGACAUUCACAGAGGUGGAAAUAAUACCGUCUUGAUGGUACAUGCCCAGAUAUGACCUUAGAGGAAUGACCCAGACCAGCAACUGUCUGCCCUUCCUCCCCACUUCCCUUUGCUCCACUUGUAUCCUAACUGACUGGAAAAGAUUGUUUCAGUGUCCACCCUGGCUAUCUAGUGAUGUCCUCCCUGGCUAUCAAACCACCAUUUUCCAUUCCAACAUAGAGUGCAGCCAAGCAGUGAGUGUCUCCUCCCCAACUUCCAUCACUUCAGGCAACACUACUGCAUUUUUGAAGAACUGAAAGGACCCCUGCAGUGACUAGGAUCAGAAAGGGGGGAAUCUGGGCCCCUUAUUUGCAUACUCAUCAUUCACAGCAAGCCUUCCAGAAGAUUCCCUAGCCUCAGGGCUGCCCCUCACUGACACAGGGUUGUAGCUGCUACAUAUCUCCAGCCACUCCCCAGGUGUUAGCAUGGGGGGCGACCCCUGUGUACCUCCCUGUGCUGCCUUAUGGGCUCUGUUUAAAUACAGUGAUACUGCAGUUGUUGAACUCAGUUUGCCCCAAAUUUGUGUUUGAACACGAAGUUUUUUGAGAAUUUAAUGUAUUUUCCCGUAAUAAAUAAUGGAAAUCCAAAUAAUUGGUUCUGAGGCCCCAAAAUUACACUUAUAAAUUAAUUUUUCCAGUACUUUAAUAAACUUUGCAAUGAUUUAUU
rnacentral:lncRNA from 1 species